GCACUAACUGCUACAUGAGAGACUUUGGACCCAGAGGUAGCCGAAAUCCUGUUGCUCGGACCUUCAACACAGCAGCUUCUUAAGAGGGGUCGUGCAGUCUUAAGAAACACAGAAUCUGGAUCUACAAACAACAACAAACCUACAGUAUCUGCUUUACACUGCUACACACAGCAAGCCACUGUUAAAUACUGCCAAGUUGAUCUAUCCUUACCACAGAAUAAAACACAACUCCAUAAAUGACCAGAACCUGCCAAAUCAACAGCCAUCCACGUUGGCGCAGCUUCAUGUGUUUAGAUCUUUUGCCUUGAUUUCACAGUUAAGGCACCUAAAUAUUGUCCAUUCUUUUUGAAUGGAGUUGUAUAUUAAUCUUUAGAAUGGGAGAUAUCAAAAUGUAUGGUGGAAAAUAUCAGACUGUAUGGUGAAACGAAUGUUGGUGUAGGAACGCUGUAUUGUACAAGCAUUGUGUGUUUUUGAUUUUCAGGACUCUGUAAACCAUUAAUUAAUUGAUUAACUUGAAACACAA